UAACUUGUAGAGCCCUGAAGGAGUGCAGAGUUGGUGAGAAGACUGGGAUUCUUUGGGGUGGGAAGUAGUAGCUGGAAGAGAGGCAGAGAAGAAAGGCUCCCCAUCCUUGGCUCGGCUCACAUUCAGCUUGGGGCUAACCAUGGUUGUGAAGAGGGCACAUGGACAUUCUGAGACACAAACUGCAUCUGGCAUGAACUAACUAUGAACAUUUUUAGAGAAGGGCCACAUAGUUUUCAAGCUGAAAGAAAACAGGCUGUAUUAUGCAUACAGUAUCUACAAUUGCACAUUCAAAAACUGAGUUAUAUCAUUUCUCAAUAUUAAUUGAAGAAAUGAUUAGAAUCCCUAUAGAAAGUAAUGCUGUGUUCAUUUACUCAAUUACUUUGAUGAAUGCCUUCCUGAAGCUGUCCUCACUCCCCCUCAUUGCUUCUCCAAGCCAAUAAACGGGAUCGAGUGGCAACUAACAAAAACUAGCCAACUCUGUCAAAAAGAUCUCCACAUCAGAAACCAAGACCUGGAAGCUGUAAGAAGCCUGGAUCCACACAAACGACUGCUUAGCAUUCAAAUACUCCCCUCCCAGAACACUUGAUGUGUUUCUUGCAUAUCUGACUUACUCUGCUGGCCAUCUACUGACAAAAGCAAUCUCUUCCCAGAUGAAAAUUUCUCUGGCCCUUUCUCUUUGUUUGUUUUUGGUAUUGUUUAAAAAACAGCAUUUCAAAUUCCUUCAGCCUUCCAGGAAAGCAGACAGAUGUGUAAACUAGAUUCCAAAGCACUAAGACUUCUGCUUCUUAAUAAGCUGGGACACAAUCAUGCCCUGGAAGCAAAAGUGAAUAGAAUUUCCUCAUUCACGAAGGGUCUACUGUUGAUUUUCUAAAAAGAAACAAAACAGUAACCAGAUGGUAGUUGACAGGGCAACUUUAAAGACAAGUAUUUGUUUUGAUCUCAUUCCUAAGGGAAAGAAAGUUAGAUAAUUAAUAGCAGGAAAGAACAGGAGAGAAAGGCUAGAGGAGAAGAAAUAUCAAAGAUAAUGUAUAAAGAGAAAUGUGAGGAGAAAUGGAUAUUGGAAAAUAAGGGGAAAAAAUAGCCAGUUCUAGAAAAAUAGAAAAUGGGAUGAAAUGAAAUAUAACUGCACAUUUUUCACUAAAUCGUUGCCUAGGAAACAACUAGGAGUGUUUCUCCCUGUACUGAAUAAUCGUUGAGAAACACACUGGACUUAGGGUCUCUUGGCUUUAUUGUAUCAACUGGGAAACUUACGUGUCAGUCAUAGUAGUUAUGAGCACCAUGCUUUCUAUAUCAUGCUUCUAACAACAGAAGUAGUCAGUUUCAACAAUUUUGGAGGGUAAUAGCAGAGGAAUUGUAAGUUUGAAACCUACAAACACAGGCAGGUUGAGACUUGAAAAUCUGAUUAGUCUAGGAUGACACAUUAGUAUGUGUAACACUAAGCAACAAACCGUGGAAAAGUCAAUUAGAAAAGCAGCUGAAGGCCCAUUUGGCAAUGUGAGAUCAUCUUUACAGUUUGCCUGGUAUCUGUUGAAAACCAGUUUUCCAUAUAAAGAGCCUGGUGCACUUAAAGUCAUAUAGUGUGGAGGCAAAGUUUCACGUUACAAAGCAGUUCUUUAUCCUCCAUUAGCGUACAGCCCCUAUGGAUCUUAUUAUCACUGUUUUCCUUUUAAUCUAAUAAUUAUAAAGAACAAAAAGCAUUAAAAAAUGCUUUACUGCUCCCAUUUGAAUUUGUCUUUCCUAUAGUUUAGUGAAUUUUGCAGAAAAUAUUUAUAUACAUUGUCUUAAAUAAGCCCAUCUCUAUAAAGCUG
rnacentral:lncRNA from 1 species